UACAGGGGGGGGCAAGCGUUGUUCGGAAUUACUGGGCGUAAAGGGUCUGUAGGUGGCUUACUAAGUCAGACGUGAAAUCCCCUCAGCUUAACUGGGGAACUGCGUCUGAUACUGGAAAGCUUGAGUGCAGGAGAGGAACGCGGAAUUCCAGGUGUAGCGGUGAAAUGCGUAGAUAUCUGGAGGAACACCGGUGGCGAAGGCGGCGUUCUGGACUGCAACUGACACUGAGAGACGAAAGCCAGGGGAGCAAACGGG
rnacentral:rRNA from 1 species